CCGUUGCCGGCGACCGGCGCACGGGUGAGUAACACGUAUGCAACCUGCCCGUGGCAGGGGGAUAAGCGGGGGAAACCCCGUCUAAUACCGCGUAACGCGGCCUUGGGGCAUCCCAAGGCCGCCAAAGGGAGCAAUCCCGGCCACGGAUGGGCAUGCGGCGCAUUAGGAAGACGGCGGUGUGACGGACCACCGUUCCGACGAUGCGUAGGGGUUCUGAGAGGAAGGCCCCCCACACUGGUACUGAGACACGGACCAGACUCCUACGGAAGGCAGCAG
rnacentral:rRNA from 1 species